rnacentral:rRNA from 1 species
GACGAACGCUGGCGGCGUGCUUAACACAUGCGAGUCGAACGGAAAGGCCCUGCUUUUGUGGGGUGCUCGAGUGGCGAACGGGUGAGUAACACGUGAGUAACCUGCCCUUGACUUUGGGAUAACUUCAGGAAACUGGGGCUAAUACCGGAUAGGAGCUCCUGCUGCAUGGUGGGGGUUGGAAAGGUGCGGCGGUUGGGGAUGGACUCGCGGCUUAUCAUCUUGUUGGUGGGGUAGGGGAUUACCAAGGCUUUGACGGGUAGCCGGCCUGGGAGGGUGACCGGCCACAUUGGGACUGGGGUACGGCCAAGACUCCUACGGGAGGAAGGAGUGGAGAAUAUAGGAAACUGGGCGGAAGCAUGAUGGAGCAACGCCGGGUGCGGGAAGACGGCCUUCGGGUUGUAAACAGCUUUCGACUGUGACGAAGCGUGAGUGACGGUAAUGGGUAAAGAAGCACCGGCUAACUACGU